UAUGAAUAUAUGCUAUUCCCAUUUUGCUGUUGGCUUGUAGUUAUGCAUACGUAGAUGAAAAUCACGCCCAUUUUUCAUGAAACGAAACUUUCGUUUCGAGAUGUAAUCCCUGGCUCUCUUCCUCAGCAGCUAACGUUACUUUCAUUGUGUGCGGAGCAUGGGAACAUGCUCUUAACCUGAGCUGUGUGACUGAGGGUCAAAUACACGGUGACAAGUGUGCUCAUCUUUGAAAUCGCACACCUGCACUAGACUUUAUCAGAGAAUGAAGUGUCCUCAGUGCAAUCAUGUGUCUUUGGAAAAGGCACCAAACUUCUGCAGUCAGUGUGCCUAUAAGCUAACAUCUGAGUCAAAAGAGACAGCAGCAGACAAGCCACAAGACGAGUCUCAAACAUGCUCAAACAUUCCACACUGUACCGAUGCAGAAAUGACUGAUAUUGGUCGUGAAUCAGAAGCAUUGAAUUACCAGAUUGCCGUUGUAUCUCCAAAACGACCAAAUGAAGAUAUAAGCCCUAACCCAAAGAAAAAGAAAAGAAAGAAAAAGAAGAAAAAAGCAAGUGUUGCAGGAGGCCCUUCGUCUCUGACCUCUGAUCUCUCUGAUAUAUCUUUGAAUGAUAAAGAGAAGAAAAUAGAGGAAGACCAAUCUUUUGAGAGUGAUGGCUCUUACUGCACUGUAGAUCAGUCUGUUGAACAGUCAAAUAGUAGCAAGGAGAGUUGUGUAGCACCUGAAAUGUUAAAAUCAUCUAAGUUAAAUUUGAUCCAAGAGUCAAUCAGCACUAGUACUGCCAAUGAUUCUCCAGCAGUGUCAGUGGGAGCAGAUCAGACAGCUGAAAAAAACAAAACUAAACCUAAGAAUAAGGGUCAAAAGAGCAUGUCCACAAGAGCACAGACAACUCUAGAUCAGAGUGCUAAUAUGGGAAAGAAUGCAAACCUAAAAAGCAGCACAGGCAAUCAAAAGGAAACAGAUCCUCGGGGCAUGGAACCACUGAAGAAUUACAGUUCCAGUGGAGAUUCAGUGAUGAAGGUUGAACACAGUGAGAAGCAGCAGUCUGCUCAUGCUAACCAGAUGAAUCCAGAAUUCAAAAAAGUCAAUGAAAGCGGCAUUACAGAAACCAAUAAGGACAACCAAAAAAAAAAUCAGAAUGAGGAACCACAGAAAUAUAAACAUGGUAUUUGGCAAAAGUAA
rnacentral:lncRNA from 12 species